CCUACGGGAGGCAGCAGUGAGGAAUAUUGGUCAAUGGGCGCGAGCCUGAACCAGCCAAGUCGCGUGAGGGAAGACGGCCCUAUGGAUUGUAAACCUCUUUUGUCGGGGAGUAAAAUACGCUACGUGUGGUGUUUUGUGUGUACCCGAUGAAUAAGCAUCGGCUAACUCCGUGCCAGCAGCCGCGGUAAUACGGAGGAUGCGAGCGUUAUCCGGAUUUAUUGGGUUUAAAGGGUGCGUAGGCGGAAGAUUAAGUCAGUGGGAAAAUUGGGGGGCUCAACCUUAUAGUGCCGUUGAAACUGGGUGUCUUGAGUGAAUGAGAGGUAUGCGGAAUGCGUGGUGUAGCGGUGAAAUGCUUAGAUAUCACGAAGAACUCCGAUUGCGAAGGCAGCAUACCGGCGCUUAACUGACGCUGAUGCACGAAAGUGUGGGUAUCGAACAGGAUUAGAUACCCGAGUAGUC
rnacentral:rRNA from 1 species